rnacentral:rRNA from 1 species
GACGAACGCUGGCGGCGUGCCUAAUACAUGCAAGUAGAACGCUGAAGAGAGGAGCUUGCUCUUCUUGGAUGAGUUGCGAACGGGUGAGUAACGCGUAGGUAACCUGCCUUGUAGCGGGGGAUAACUAUUGGAAACGAUAGCUAAUACCGCAUAACAAUGGAUGACACAUGUCAUUUAUUUGAAAGGGGCAAUUGCUCCACUACAAGAUGGACCUGCGUUGUAUUAGCUAGUAGGUGAGGUAAUGGCUCACCUAGGCGACGAUACAUAGCCGACCUGAGAGGGUGAUCGGCCACACUGGGACUGAGACACGGCCCAGACUCCUACGGGAGGCAGCAGUAGGGAAUCUUCGGCAAUGGGGGCAACCCUGACCGAGCAACGCCGCGUGAGUGAAGAAGGUUUUCGGAUCGUAAAGCUCUAUUGUAAGUCAAGAACGGGUGUGAGAGUGGAAAGUUCACACUGUGACGGUAGCUUACCAGAAAGGGACGGCUAACUACGUG